rnacentral:tRNA from 1 species
GCGCCCGUAGCUCAGCAGGAUAGAGCACCGGUUUCCUAAACCGGGGGUCGGAGGUUCGAGUCCUCCCGGGCGCG